GGAGUGCGACUGUCCCUCCCUGUGGGACUAGAACAGUUGCAGGUCGUAUUGUGAAAGAAAACUAUGGUUCUGCCAACUAACAACACACAUUUACGAUUGCUGUGUUAUGGAGCAAAGGAGUAAAACCACUUAAGGGUAGAAACCUUUACAAGCUAAAAACAAUGAGACAGGGUGUUGAGAAAUGAAAGGAAUACGGUGCAAGAGACAAAAAGAAGGAUGUCACCAGACGAAUUGUAGAUGAAACUAGCUGCUCAACUUCAGAGUCAACUCGCAGCAGUCUGCACAAGACAACCCAUUCAGAUUAGACAACAUACACCUGCUGCCUACCAAAGAUGGUUCUUGCCGAAGUCUGCAUGAACACCACGAUGGCAUCAAGUAUUACUGAACAACACCACGAUAGCAGUAUAAAAGCUGUGCACAACCAAAAUAAUGAAUAUCGUGUUGCCAACCACAGGCAGUACCCAACAAAACUUUUCUAGAAAUGUUCAUGAUGCACAUGCCAAGAAUGCACAAAAU